CCCCUCCUUCCCUUGAGCCCCCUCGGGCUAGAAGGGCUGCUAUCACAUCACCAUGAAGCUAAACGAUGACAACCACCGAAGGUUUUGCACCUGGCAAAACUUCAAAUGUGUCUGCCCCCAACUGUCGACACAGACUAGCGGAUCUCGUCAUGUUCGGCGGCGAUGGCUUUGCCUCCCAAAAGCAUAUGUUGUUCUUGCCUUGGUCCUCAACAUAUCUUUAGAUACUCCACAAAUAACGACUAAGCGAUUGUACCGUGACAAGUGAUGCGGAGGCCGUCCAGAAGGUGUUCACCUAGAGCAAUUGCUCUAUCACAUAUGGAAUCGAGCACCUUUUUAUUGGGAAUUUCUUUUUUUCCCAGUUUGUCCUUUCCGUAUUAUCACGAUCACCCAAAGGGAAGGGGCGGACCUGAGGGGGCAGAGGGGGCGGCCUCCCCAGGCCCGUGACUCGGGAGGGCCCCCUCCAGGGUACGUAUUGCAUAGUGUCUCAGGUUUUGCGGUAAAAAAAUCUGGUGGCCCGUGCCCCAGUUCAGAUGAGUAGUGACAUCUUAUGGCGCACGUCG
rnacentral:lncRNA from 1 species